ACAACAUACUUUUGGAAUCAGCAGAACAAAGAGAUUUUUCAGGCACCUCUAAGAGUUGUCAGAAACGAUGCAGCUGGACACUAUCUGUUGCUUGAGUCUCCGAAACAAUUCAAGAUGAUGUUUAGAGGUUGUACAAAGAAGUAAUUGUGUUCCUUCUGGAUGUGAGUGAAAACUUAUCAAACUGAGAAGGUGAACUCCCUGUACACGUGGAGCUCUUGUUACUGCCCUACUUCAUCUCUUACCAUUGCAGACCACCAGGAAGGGAGCUCUAACUCCCUGUCCAUUGGGCCCUUUGACCUCCCUGCUAACUACAAUUGUGAGUGUGACAUACAGUGUGAGCAACUGGGGAACACAAAAGGGUCAGCACUGUUUGAGAUGCGGUGAAACAGAUUAAUACAAGAAUAUAUCAAAACAGUGGAUGUGGAGAUGAGGGAAGAAAAAACAAAGAUAGUACAUGCAUGUUUUAUGUUUCCUCUGCUGUGUAUCUCUUUAAUGGAUGAUAUUUAAUGGACAGAUGGGGUUGUUGAACAAGAUCACAAAAUACUUAUGAUUUUUUUUUCUCUUUAAAUAAAGUACUUGCUCUUUGCUUUAUUGUGUUGUUU
rnacentral:lncRNA from 1 species